rnacentral:rRNA from 1 species
UUUAUUUAAAGUCUGGUCUGCUCACUGAUAAAUUAAAGAGCCGCAGUAUUUUGACUGUGCGAAGGUAGCAUAAUAAUUAGUUUCUUGAUUGGGAACUGGUAUGAAUGGUUGGACGAGAAAAGUUCUGUCUCUUUCUAAUUUUAUUGAAUUUUACUUUUAAGUUAAAAGGCUUAAAUUUUGUUAAAAGACGAGAAGACCCUAUAGAGUUUUAUUAUUUAAUUUUUAUUGAGUUUUGGUAAUAUAAUUCUUAAGAUGUAAAAUAAUUUGGUUGGGGUGAUUGGAAAAUUUAUUUAACUUUUCUUUUAUUUUUACAUUUAUUUAUGAUUGAUUGAUCCGUUAUUUACGAUUAUAAGAUUAAAUUACCUUAGGGAUAACCAGCGUAAUUUUA